GAUGAACGCUGGCGGCGUGCCUAAUACAUGCAAGUCGAGCGAACAGACGAGGAGCUUGCUCCUCUGACGUUAGCGGCGGACGGGUGAGUAACACGUGGAUAACCUACCUAUAAGACUGGGAUAACUUCGGGAAACCGGAGCUAAUACCGGAUAAUAUAUUGAACCGCAUGGUUCAAUAGUGAAAGACGGUCUUGCUGUCACUUAUAGAUGGAUCCGCGCCGCAUUAGCUAGUUGGUAAGGUAACGGCUUACCAAGGCAACGAUGCGUAGCCGACCUGAGAGGGUGAUCGGCCACACUGGAACUGAGACACGGUCCAGACUCCUACGGGAGGCAGCAGUAGGGAAUCUUCCGCAAUGGGCGAAAGCCUGACGGAGCGACGCCGCGUGAGUGAUGAAGGUCUUCGGAUCGUAAAACUCUGUUAUUAGGGAAGAACAAAUGUGUAAGUAACUAUGCACGUCUUGACGGUACCUAAUCAGAAAGCCACGGCUAACUACGUG
rnacentral:rRNA from 1 species